rnacentral:lncRNA from 1 species
GGUUGGCGUCACACUAGAUAAAGCCAGGAGUUCACUCAGAUUUGUUUAUAGUUUUGAUAAAUUUGCAGAGUUUAAUCAACUUUACCUUGUAUUUUGAUGACAUUAAAUUAUUACCAAUAUUAUAAACAUAAUUUGGCUUUGUGUAGCUAUACUUUUCUAUGUAAUUUUUCCUCUCCUGUUCAAAAAAUUGGCAUUCCAAAAUAAAGUGAAAUUCAUCCUCGAGUUCAUUGUUUUUACACAGAGUACAGUUUCUAUUUUGUCUGCUGGUGUUUAGCCAUCUACCAGCUUCAAUGGGUAAUUUAUGAUUCGUCGUUCUAAAUCUGCAAAAUUCUACAAGAUUUUUGUUAUCUAAAAUAUCUAAAUAAGC